AGUCACUGACAUUAGAUACCCGUGUAGUCCCAGCCGUAAACGAUGCGCGUUAGGUGUAUCGACGACCACGAGUCGUCGAGGUGCCGAAGGGAAACCGUGAAACGUGCCGCCUGGGAAGUACGGUCGCAAGGCUGAAACUUAAAGGAAUUGGCGGGGAGCACCACAACAGGUGGAGCCCGCGGUUUAAUUGGACUCAACGCCGGGAAGCUCACCGGAUAGGACAGCAGAAUGAUUGCCGGGCUGAAGACCCUGCAUGACUAGCUG
rnacentral:rRNA from 1 species